rnacentral:rRNA from 1 species
UACGUAGGGUGCAAGCGUUAUCCGGAAUUAUUGGGCGUAAAGAGCUCGUAGGCGGUUUGUCGCGUCUGCUGUGAAAACUGGAGGCUCAACCUCCAGCCUGCAGUGGGUACGGGCAAACUAGAGUGCGGUAGGGGAGAUUGGAAUUCCUGGUGUAGCGGUGGAAUGCGCAGAUAUCAGGAAGAACACCCGUGGCGAAGGCGGUUCUCUGGGACGGUACUGACGCUGAGACGCGAAAGCGUGGGGAGCGAACAGG